GGAAAGUCAUGGAAUUCUGUCCCGGGGCUAAUCUCCGUAUGCCAGGGGCCUGUGCUCACCAUCCAGGUCAGAUGAGACUGGGAGUGGAUCAUGGAGUUGAGGAUACCGUUGGAGUUAAAGAUCUUGCUUGCUUGACUGGUUUUUCCAAACUCCCAGAGCUCCCCUGAAGUCAGUCAAUAUGGCAUUAUUGUCAUUUGGGGAACAGUAAACCUUUGAAAAAUGCCUUUUGCGUUCUGGAUUUAUGGAAACCGUUUGAACUGUGGUUGAACCUGUGAAUAUGGAACCCAUGGAUAUGGAGGGCCAAUUGUACUUCCAUCCUGCCUAAGUCCAGCAAGAAGAAAAGGCAGGAUUCCCUAACUCA